CAUUUGUUAUAUAGCAGCUUGAGCUGGCAGGUACCUGAUGCCAUAGUCACUCACUGCCUUCCUACAGGCCAGGGCAUGUGAAACAUCAGUGGAAGGAAGCAUCAGCUAGAACUGUCAAGAGAUCACCAAAGGGAGAGUUCAGAGCCACACAAGUGAAGCUGGCAUCCCCAGGAGAAACCGAGAUAAGGAGAAACCAGAAACCUCCUGCCUGGCAUCCUGGCUUCCAGCCAGGGCACAACCAAAGACAUUUUGGUUGAAAUAUUUCUGGCAUCCCUAGCCGUUGUCAAGGACAGAACUUCCAACAGCCUCGGGACAUUUCUGGCUUUUAGCCUCGUAAGACUGUUUACUCUCCGGGCUCUUUACCCUGAAACUGCCCAGCCAGUUUCUGUCACCUGCUUCCAUCAAUAAUCAUGUGUUUGGAGCUUCCUGUACAUUUUAGAAUGAUCGGCACCCGAGAGAUACUAAAGGAAUCGUGUCCCUGACUUGAAGCAACAUGAAAAAAAGAUUCUUGCACCGUUAACCAAAGUUUAAGUUAACUUGUAUUUGAAGCUGGUGGAACCGUGGGAUGCCGGUAACAUCCUCUUGACAUAAGGAUGACACGGAUCCUCACACCACAGCCAAGCUCUCAGCUUCAGUGAACAGAAGAGAGCGCCCGCCCGAGUUUCGGACUGUUGCUGCAGAAGGAGCCACUGCUGCAGGAAGCUUUUCAAAUCCCAGUUGUAUUCUUAGUUUCUCUCUCAAGGAAUAAAGUGAACGCGAGCCAUUCAAAGAUCCAGUUUCAGCCUGGUAAGCCAAAGGUCACUGUUUCAUUUAUUUCCCAAAACUCGAAAUAUGACAGUAUAAUGUACUUUCCCUCCAAACUGU